GAUGAACGCUAGCUACAGGCUUAACACAUGCAAGUCGAGGGGCAGCACAGAGAUAGCUUGCUAUCUUGGGUAGCGACCGGCGCACGGGUGAGUAACGCGUAUCCAACCUGCCCAUUACUCUGGGAUAGCCUGGCGAAAGUAAGAUUAAUACAGGAUGUUGUUAAAAACCCGCAUGAGUUUUUAACCAAAGAUUUAUUGGUAAUGGAUGGGGAUGCGUGACAUUAGGUAGUUGGUGAGGUAACGGCUCACUAAGCCUACGAUGUCUAGGGGUUCUGAGAGGAAGGUCCCCCACACUGGAACUGAGACACGGUCCAGACUCCUACGGGAGGCAGCAGUGAGGAAUAUUGGUCAAUGGACGAGAGUCUGAACCAGCCAAGUAGCGUGCAGGAUGACGGCCCUCUGGGUUGUAAACUGCUUUUAGUUGGGAAUAAAAAGAGGGACGUGUCCCUAAUUGUAUGUACCAUCAGAAAAAGGACCGGCUAAUUCCGUGCCAGCCGCCGCGGUAACAC
rnacentral:rRNA from 1 species